rnacentral:rRNA from 1 species
CUACGGGUUGCUGCAGUGGGGAAUCUUAGACAAUGGGCGCAAGCCUGAUCUAGCCAUGCCGCGUGAGUGAUGAAGGCCUUAGGGUCGUAAAGCUCUUUCGCUGGGGAAGAUAAUGACGGUACCCAGUAAAGAAACCCCGGCUAACUCCGUGCCAGCAGCCGCGGUAAUACGGAGGGGGUUAGCGUUGUUCGGAAUUACUGGGCGUAAAGCGCGCGUAGGCGGACUGUUAAGUCGGGGGUGAAAUCCCGGGGCUCAACCCCGGAACGGCCUUCGAUACUGGCAGUCUGGAGUUCGAGAGAGGUGAGUGGAAUUCCGAGUGUAGAGGUGAAAUUCGUAGAUAUUCGGAGGGACACCAGUGGCGAAGGCGGCUCACUGGCUCGAUACUGACGCUGAGGUGCGAAAGUGUGGGGAGCAAACAGGAUUAGAUACCCGAGUAGUC